rnacentral:tRNA from 1 species
CGGGUAGUUCAGUUGGUUAGAACGCCGGCCUGUCACGCCGGAGGUCGAGGGUUCAAGUCCCUUCUC